CUCAAAACGUAGCCAUGGCUGUCCUCUUUCAUCCAAUGUGUUUACUAUUGUCCUAGGUGUUAUGGUUCUUUCAUAAAUGUCACCAAUGCACAGCCUCCUCCCUCCAACUCUUCCAUAGACUCUAAUGUUAAAACGGCUCAGAAGGUUGGUUUGAAAAUCAGAAGAGCAUGGUGUUUUUACACUGUCACCACGUCCAUAUAAUAAACUCCACAGGCAUGAAAACUGAGAAUUCAGUAGACUAGAAGCUGCUGUCGCUCACGGUGAAAGAAUUUCGUCAAUACGACUUGUACUUUUCAUAUGGGAACGAUUUGUUUCGGCCUGACUUUUCUGUUCAUUUUAAGCAGCAAAAGUGAGGUGCAUGUCUGUGUCGUGUGUAUGGAGCCAUUGGGUGCAGUCACUAUAGCAACCAGGCUCACACCUGCCUGCUUAACGAGCUCUCUCUCUCACUCUGCCAAGAUUCAUCUUAAACACUUCUCUUUCAACUGCUGCUGUCUCCACAGUGUUACAGCCAUCAUUUUACCCUCAAAACGUCGCCAUCGUUGUUCUUUUUCCAACAUCUUGUCUUUCAAAGCUCAGAGAUGUAAACUUUUUAAACUGUGUGGGUCCAAGUGGAGGGAUCACAUUUGAGUCAUUCAGUGAUUCAAAGAAUAUGACCUUUUAAUAUUCAUUCAGAUGUUUUCUGACUCUAAAUGUUCUUUUCUCAUUUCUUAGGGUUUUCUAAUUUACAUUUAAAACAUUUUCAGUUUUUUUCCAACUCCUUCUUCUGUGUAACCUUCAGCUUUUAGCAGUUCAGCACCUUUGUUUUCAGGUUAAAUUCGGGUUUUUUUUUUGGGUUUUUUUUUAAUCUCAUUCAAUAUUUUUAACUCAAAAUUCAGCAAUUAAUUCAUUUCAGUGCAUACAUUCAGAUUCAAGCAUUCACACUGCAGUUUCUUCAGAAAAUGCACUUUCUAGUUAUAUUUUAUUAUUAUUAUCUAUUCCGUACGCUUUUUGAAAGCCAACUCCUUCAAAACCGUUCAACUUAGAAAAACCAUUCAAACACCGUUAGAUUCCUAUUCUUUUGGACAACAUUGCUUCUAUUUUUCUCAUUUUUAACAUUUAUAUUUUUAAUUUUAUUCAACUUUUUUCAACAAAAAUUUAUAAUGUAUUUCAAUGGGGAGACCCUUCAAAUUCUCAUUCAACUUCAUCCUCUUUAAACUGUAUCUACUUCCACAUACAUUGACAUAGAGCCACCAUUCAAACUUUAAAACGAAGACAAGACAUUCAACUAUUCAACUUGUAUUUAUCUUUUCAAUAUCUAUUAUACUUUUUCUUCAGUUCCAGUUUAAGUUUCAUGAUGUUUUUUCACCCGUUUCAGAGUUUAUAAUGGGUGUGUAUGGGACGGAAUGUUGGGGCUAGAGUGAGGCAGCUCAACUGCUAGAGUGAGAGGAGCAAAAAAAUUAAUCUUAAAAUCUUUUUUAAAACUGCUGCUGUGUCCGCAGCGUUUG
ensembl:lncRNA